rnacentral:rRNA from 1 species
CAAGGAAUAUUGGUCAAUGGACGCAAGUCUGAACCAGCCAUGCCGCGUGGAGGAUUAAGGCCCUCUGGGUUGUAAACUCCUUUUAUCUGGGAAGAAAUGUACUUUUUCUUGAGUACUUGACGGUACCAGAGGAAUAAGCACCGGCUAACUCCGUGCCAGCAGCCGCGGUAAUACGGAGGGUGCAAGCGUUAUCCGGAUUCACUGGGUUUAAAGGGUGCGUAGGUGGGCAGGUAAGUCAGUGGUGAAAUCUCCGGGCUUAACCCGGAAACUGCCGUUGAAACUAUUUGUCUUGAAUAUUGUGGAGGUAAGCGGAAUAUGUCAUGUAGCGGUGAAAUGCUUAGAUAUGACAUAGAACACCAAUUGCGAAGGCAGCUUACUACACAAUCAUUGACGCUGAGGCACGAAAGCGUGGGGAUCAAACA